rnacentral:rRNA from 1 species
CCUACGGGAGGCUGCAGUGAGGAAUAUUGGUCAAUGGGCGCGAGCCUGAACCAGCCAAGUAGCGUGAAGGAUGACUGCCCUACGGGUUGUAAACUUCUUUUAUAAAGGAAUAAAGUGAGGCACGUGUACCUUUUUGUAAGUAUUUUAUGAAUAAGGAUCGGCUAACUCCGUGCCCGCAGCCGCGGUAAUACGGAGGAUCCGAGCUUUAUCCGGAUUUAUUGGGUUUAAAGGGAGCGUAGAUGGGUUGUUAAGUCAGUUGUGAAAGUUUGGGGCUGAACCGUAGAAUUGCCAUUGAUACUGGCAGUCUUGAGGACAGUUGAGGUAGGGGGAAUUCGUGGUGGAGCGGUGAAAUGCUUAGAUAACACGAAGAACUCCGAUUGCGAAGGCAGCUUACUAAACUGCCACUGACAUUGAUGCUCGAAAGUGUGGGUAUCAAACAGGAUUAGAUACCCUUGUAGUC